CCUACGGGUGGCUGCAGUGGGGAAUAUUGGACAAUGGGGGCAACCCUGAUCCAGCCAUGCCGCGUGUGUGAAGAAGGCCCUCGGGUUGUAAAGCACUUUCAGUGAGGAAGAACGCCUGGUGGUUAAAACCCAUCAGGAAAGACAUCACUCACAGAAGAAGCACCGGCUAACUCCGUGCCAGCAGCCGCGGUAAUACGGAGGGUGCGAGCGUUAAUCGGAAUUACUGGGCGUAAAGCGCGCGUAGGUGGCUUGAUAAGCCGGUUGUGAAAGCCCCGGGCUCAACCUGGGAACGGCAUCCGGAACUGUCAAGCUAGAGUGCAGGAGAGGAAGGUAGAAUUCCCGGUGUAGCGGUGAAAUGCGUAGAGAUCGGGAGGAAUACCAGUGGCGAAGGCGGCCUUCUGGACUGACACUGACACUGAGGUGCGAAAGCGUGGGUAGCAAACAGGAUUAGAUACCCCAGUAGUC
rnacentral:rRNA from 1 species